rnacentral:rRNA from 1 species
AUGACCAAGCACCACCAGCACCUGGGUUUAAGCUUCCGCCAUGGCGCCGAGGAGGAGCGGUGGGUGGACGACUCCUCCGUCGACCACCGCGGCCGCCCGCCCCUCCGCGCCGCCACCGGCUCCUGGAAGGCCGCCAUGUUCAUCAUCCUGAUCGAGUUCAGCGAGCGGCUGAGCUAUUUCGGCAUCGCCACCAGCCUCAUGAUCUACCUCACCAAGGUGCUGCACCAGGACAUGAAGGUCGCCGCCGAGAACUCAAACUACUGGAUGAGCGUCACCACGCUCAUGCCGCUCCUCGGGGGAUUCCUCGCCGACUCAUACCUCGGCCGCUUCCGCACCGUCCUCUACUCCACCGUCGUCUACCUCCUUGGCCUCGUCCUGCUGGCCGUGGCGCAGCUGACGCCGGGUCUCAGGCCGGCCGGCGGCUCGGUGCCCCGGAUCCACGAGACGCUCUUCUUCGUCGGGAUCUACCUCGUGUCCGUCGGCACCGGCGGCCACAAGCCGGCGCUCGAGAGCUUCGGCGGUGACCAGUUCGACGACGGCCACACCGGGGAGCGGCUGCAGAAGAUGUCUUAUUUUAACUGGUGGAACUGCGCGCUCUGCUCCGGGGUCCUGCUCGGGGUCACCGUCGUCGUGUAUGUCCAGGAGCGUGUCGGAUGGGGCGCCGCCACGGUGCUGCUCGCUGCAGUCAUGGGGUGCUCCCUCGUGGUGUACCUCGCGGGGUGGCGGACGUACCGGUACAGGGUGCCGCAGGGCAGCCCGCUCACGCCGAUGCUGCGGGUCGUCGUGGCCGCCGUCAGGAAGCGGCGCCUUCGGCUGCCAACCGACGUCGGCGAGCUGCACGAGGAGGACGGCGGCAAGAAGAGGCUGCUCUGCCACACCGACCAGCUCCGGUGUCUCGACAAGGCGGCAAUCGUGGAGCAUGAUGGCGAGGGGCGGCGCGGGGCGUGGCGGCUGGCCACGUUGACGCAGGUGGAGGAGACGAAGCUGGUGGUGUCGAUGGUGCCCAUCUGGGUGGCCACGCUCCCGUUCGGCAUCACGACGGCGCAGGUGUCCACCUUCUUCGUCAAGCAGGGCAGCGUGAUGGACCGGCGCAUGGGCGCCCACUUCGUGCUCCCGCCGGCGUCCAUCUUCGCGCUGGCCGCCGUCGCCAUGAUCGCCACCGUGGCGCUCUACGACAAGGUGCUGGAGCCGUGCCUGCGCCGCGUGACUGGGACGGAGCGCGGGCUCAGCGUCCUUCGUCGCAUCGGCGUCGGCAUGGCGCUGGCCGUGGUGGCCAUGGCCGUGGCCGCGGUCGUCGAGCGUCGCCGGCUGCACUCCACCGCCACCAUGUCGGUGUUCUGGCUGGUGCCGCAGUUCGCGCUGAUGGGCGUGGCCGACGGGUUCGCGCUGGUGGGCCUGCAGGAGUACUUCUACGACCAGGUGCCCGACAGCAUGCGCAGCCUGGGCAUCGGGCUGUACCUGAGCGUGAUCGGCGCCGGGAGCUUCCUGAGCAGCCUGGUGAUCGCGGCGGCGGACCACGUGAGCUCGCACGGCGGGCGGCGGGACGGGUGGUUCGGCAAGGACCUGAGCCGGAGCAGGCUGGACCUCUUCUACUGGCUGCUGGCCGCCAUCUCCGCCGUCAACCUGGGCUUCUACGUGCUCGUCGCCGCCCGGUACUCGUACAAGCAGACCGUCAAGGCCAAGAGGGUGAGCGCCAGCGACGUCGAGUGCGCCACCGCCGUCGCCGCAUAG